GGGAUUAGGUUCGUAGGUGACCUGCGGAGGAUCAUUACCGAGUGUGGGCCCCUCGGGGCCCAACCUCCCACCCGUGUUGCCCGAACCUAUGUUGCCUCGGCGGGUCCCGCGCCCGCCGACGGCCCCCCUGAACGCUGUCUGAAGUUGCAGUCUGAGACCUAUAACGAAAUUAGUUAAAACUUUCAACAACGGAUCUCUUGGUUCCGGCAUCGAUGAAAAACGCUCGAAAUGCGAUAACUAAUGUGAAUUGCAAAAUUCAAUGAAUCAUGUAGUCUUUGAACGCACAUUGCGCCCUCUGGUAUUCCGGAGGGCAUGCCUGUCCGAGCGUCAUUGCUGCCCUCAAGCCCGGCUUGUGUGUUGGGCCCCGUCCCCCCCGCCGGGGGGACGGGCCCGAAAGGAAGCGGCGGCACCGCGUCCGGUCCUCGAGCGUAUGGGGCUUCGUCACCCGCUCUAAUAGGCCCGGCCGGCGCCAGCCGACCCCCAACCUUUAAUUAUCUCAGGUUGACCUCGGAUCAGGUAGGGAUACCCGCUGAACUUAAGCAUAUCAAUAAACGUAGGAAUAU
rnacentral:rRNA from 1 species